AUUGAACGCUGGCGGCAGGCCUAACACAUGCAAGUCGAGCGGAUGAAGGGAGCUUGCUCAUGGAUUCAGCGGCGGGCGGGUGAGUAAUGCCUAGGAAUCUGCCUGGUAGUGGGGGAUAACGUCCGGAAACGGGCGCUAAUACCGCAUACGUCCUGAGGGAGAAAGUGGGGGAUCUUCGGACCUCACGCUAUCAGAUGAGCCUAGGUCGGAUUAGCUAGUUGGUGGGGUAAAGGCCUACCAAGGCGACGAUCCGUAACUGGUCUGAGAGGAUGAUCAGUCACACUGGAACUGAGACACGGUCCAGACUCCUACGGGAGGCAGCAGUAGGGAAUAUUGGACAAUGGGCGAAAGCCUGACCCAGCCAUGCCGCGUGUGUGAAGAAGGUCUUCGGAUCGUAAAGCACUUUUAGUAGGGAAGAAGGGAUGUAUGUUAAUCUCUUGCUGUUUUGACGGUACCAACACAAUAAGCACCGGCUAACUACGUG
rnacentral:rRNA from 1 species